GCUCGAAUGGCCAAGCUGGUAAGGUGUUGCACUAGUACUAGUACUAGUAAUGCAAAGAUCCACGGUUCAAGUCCGUGUUCGAGCA